AAUUCGGCCUUUCGAUCGCUACCCUUUCCUUCGCGGCGGGUCCUUACACAGGGUGCAGUAUGAAUCCAGUGCGGACAUUUGGUCCUGCAUUUUGGAAUAAUGCUUGGAAGGAUCAUUGGAUUUAUUGGGUUGGUCCUAUUUCGGGAGCUUUACUUGGA